rnacentral:rRNA from 1 species
GACGUAGGGCGCGAGCGUUGUCCGGAUUUAUUGGGCGUAAAGAGCUCGUAGGCGGUUUGUCGCGUCUGCUGUGAAAACCCGAGGCUCAACCUCGGGCCUGCAGUGGGUACGGGCAGACUAGAGUGCGGUAGGGGAGAAUGGAAUUCCUGGUGUAGCGGUGGAAUGCGCAGAUAUCAGGAGGAACACCGAUGGCGAAGGCAGUUCUCUGGGCCGUAACUGACGCUGAGGAGCGAAAGCGUGGGGAGCGAACAGG